GACGAACGCUGGCGGCGUGCUUAACACAUGCAAGUCGAGCGGUAAGGCCCUUUCGGGGGUACACGAGCGGCGAACGGGUGAGUAACACGUGGGUGACCUGCCCUCAGCUCUGGGAUAAGCCUGGGAAACCGGGUCUAAUACUGGAUAUGACUCCAUGACGCAUGUUGUGGGUGGAAAGCCUUGUGCGGCUGAGGAUGGGCCCGCGGCCUAUCAGCUUGUUGGUGGGGUGAUGGCCUACCAAGGCGACGACGGGUAGCCGGCCUGAGAGGGCGACCGGCCACACUGGGACUGAGACACGGCCCAGACUCCUACGGGAGGCAGCAGUGGGGAAUCUUGCGCAAUGGGCGAAAGCCUGACGCAGCGACGCCGCGUGA
rnacentral:rRNA from 1 species